AACGCCAGCAGCGAGGACCUGGACAAGUUCAGAGAGCGAUUCAUCGACCAGGAGGACGAAGACGAGGAGGACACGAGAGGCCAGCAGGAGGAAGAGGAAGUGACUGUUACCAUGGCGACGACCCGAGCAACCACGGAGCGGGGCGGACCCGACAGUCGAAACGCUGCGUCACUUCCUGUUUCUCUGGAAACAAGGACGCUCGUCUGGACUCUGAUGAUUCUGAUCAGCCUGAACCUGCAGCAGCUACAACACACACUAUGAGACUGCACACACACACACACACACACUGAGCAGCUGAUGUCAGAUCAGUCGAGUCCUGCGGAUGCCGGCCUGGGUCACCUGAUGAGGUCACCGCUGUGACCUUUGACCUCUGCAGAGGAGACGCAGCUUCCCUCUGGGCGGACGUCAGCCAAUCACAGAGCUUCCACAGUUCACUGCAACGACAUCACACAUUCACGUCAAAUCUGCUUCGUCACGUUUUUCACUGUUUUUUUUUUUCACUGCGAGAACGAACGAGAGCUUCUACUUAUCGUGUCGGUAUGGAAGAUUAUUCAUGACAAAACUGAUGAGCGCUUUAAAAGUCAGACUUUAACCCGAAAACUGAGCAAGUUCACUUGAUUUCUUUUAAAAACAACACCCGGCUCAAAAAUUUGUACAUUUGUAAAAAAAAGAAAAAGAUA